AGAGUUUGAUCAUGGCUCAGAUUGAACGCUGGCGGCAUGCCUUACACAUGCAAGUCGAACGGCAGCAUGAUCUAGCUUGCUAGAUUGAUGGCGAGUGGCGAACGGGUGAGUAAUACAUCGGAACGUGCCCUGUAGUGGGGGAUAACUAGUCGAAAGAUUAGCUAAUACCGCAUACGACCUGAGGGUGAAAGUGGGGGACCGCAAGGCCUCAUGCUAUAGGAGCGGCCGAUGUCUGAUUAGCUAGUUGGUGGGGUAAAGGCCCACCAAGGCGACGAUCAGUAGCUGGUCUGAGAGGACGAUCAGCCACACUGGGACUGAGACACGGCCCAGACUCCUACGGGAGGCAGCAGUGGGGAAUUUUGGACAAUGGGCGAAAGCCUGAUCCAGCAAUGCCGCGUGUGUGAAGAAGGCUCUUGGGUUGUAAAGCUCUUUCGGCCGGGAAGAAGGGUUUGCCUGCGAACAGCUUGCAGAUCUGACGGUACCGGGAGAAGAAGCACCUGCUAACUUCGUGCCAGCAGCGGCGGUAAUUC
rnacentral:rRNA from 1 species